rnacentral:rRNA from 1 species
CGAAGGAAAGUGCCCUCGCAAGAGGAACUUGGUGACAGGUGCUGCAUGGCUGUCGUCAGCUCGUGUCGUGAGGUGUCGGGUUAAGUCCAUAACGAGCGCAACCCCUACUGCUAGUUGCCAGCGGGUCAUGCCGGGGACUCUAGCGGAACUGCCAGCGUAAGCUGCGAGGAAGGUGGGGAUGACGUCAAAUCAGCACCGGCCCUUACGUCCAGGGCUACACACGUGUUACAAUGGCCGGUACAGAGGGCAGCCACCCCGCGGAGGGGGCGCGAAUCCCGAAAGCCGGUCCCAGUUCGGAUCGGAUGGCUGCAACUCGCCUCCGUGAAGCCGGAAUCGCUAGUAAUCGCGGGUCAGCAACACCGCGGUGAAUGUGUUCCUGAGCCUU